GCGCCCCCUCUGCGGAGGGCGGUUACACCGAGUUUACUCCGCCGGUGGUGCUCAUUUCCCAGCCCCCUGGAUCUAGCCAGUCGAAGCACAGACCCGCAGGCCAGCAAUUUCACAGCUGAGGCGAAGAAAUAAAACAGGUUCAUCCAGUAGAUGCCCACAGCAUAAGGCUGGGAACUGUGCUAUCGGUUUUUAAAGUCUUGUAUCGGAAUCUAGGACCCUACUGGUAGAUCUAAAAAAACAAACAAACAAACAAAAACCAAAACAAACAAAACAAAACAAAACCAAAAAACCCACAACCCCAAACCCCGACCACCUCCUCAGCCUGUAACAGUGCUUUUUUCUCUAAAAAAAAAGAGCCACUACGUGCCGAGCACUGUUGAUACCUGAAGAUUUUGCUCAGAUGCCAAAACUGAAGCUUAAAAUACAGUAAGAAAAGAUGCUCACCCAUAUACUGCUAAUGUUCCUGAACGUAUAAAUCUGGUGACGUAUUAAAAAAGCUUGAAACAGCCAGAGAUAAGUCACUUUUUUUUUUUUUUUUUUUUUUUUUUUUUUUUUUUUUGCAAUUAACAGAGGAAAAGCUCAUCCAAAAGGGCAAAUUUAUUUUAUUAAGAAUCCAUACCUCCUCAAUCCCAGCCAUGCCAACAUGGCAAUUUGACAAGCACUUGGUCAUACUAGAGAGCUAUCUAAAGAGGUGCCCAUAAAAUUCUCAUGUGUGAGCUUCUGGUAGUAGUUUGAAAACGCUACCGGAGACAAUCAUGGCCCACUCAAUCAUUAAAAUACCACACGCUAAAAAUGUUUAAAAAUACAACUGGCUUUUUACGAUUUGUAGGCAUGGCACUCAAUGAUCAGUUUUACUUGUUUCCCUGUCACACUGGGUAUGACAAAGCUACGCAGAUGCAUCUAUGAACUGGCUCCUGUAUUACUUACAUUAACGGCAGUUUUGUCUCCUGUUCCAGUGACAGCCUUUCUUUACACAGAGCAAGCCAGUACUGAUGGGAACAGUAUAUUCUACGUGAAGGACAACAUCGCAAGUAAACACUGGAUUUUAAUAUUAUUUCUAAAAAUCCAGAGAAAUCUGACAAUCGGACCUAGUUCCUGCCAGACUGAGAAGUCUCACAGUUAUGCCGGAGAAGUAUGGGGAGGAUAGUUUAUAAUAGCAUACUUCUUUCCUGCAUUUAUUACAUUUGUACCGUUCGCUCCCAGAAGUAUCUUGAUCAUAUGCCAAAUAUGGCACAAAAUUUUACAUCUGUUACCUUUUCUCCAGGCUCCACCCCGUGGUUUACAAAGGAGCAUGGGGGAAGCAACACACAGAGCUCAGCGGCGCUUGCAAGGUUACAGUGAAUUGUUAGGAGGUGGGGGACACUGCACCAGGGCUCCUGACUGCCACUCACCACGAAUCCUCGUGACUAAGCUUCCUCUGGUAAAACUGACUGCCCUCUAUUAAUCUGAUUUAGGCAACUGGGAAGCUAGCACUUUUUUUAAACUUACAGCUUCAGGAAUUUGUACAUUAACAGAUAUUAUUUUUUUUUUUUUUUUUGUAAACAAAAUGUUUGCUCUUACUAUUACAUUUUCCUUCUGCUCUCUUCGACAGAUCUACAAGAUGAAAGAAUAACAACUGUUUAGGGGAUGAAUUAAAUUUAUGGAACAACCAACUUUAAAAAACAUAUUCAUGACCUCUCAUUUUAAUCUUUUUACAGCAUUCACUACAAAAUUAUAUUACAAAUGUGUAUCAUUUAAAGUUGACUCUGCUGCCUAUUUAAAUGCAUGUUAGAUUUUAGUGACUAUAAUGUUCUACAUUUUCUUGGAAACUUGUAAAAGAAUCAAGACUGUUUAAAAAAAAAGUAAAAAAUUGAAAUUUAAUGUUGUUUUACCUAAACUGUUAGAGAACCUGUAAGGAAAUGUUAAUCAGAUGUGAAUACCAAAGUCACCUGUGACUCAGGAUGCUCCAUAAAUAGAACACAUACUGAUGUUAUAUUUCAGCAGAUGCAAAUCAUCUCCAUUUUUUAUUAUGCUAUGUCAAAGAGUCAUGCCAAGAUUUUUCACUUUUUGCAGGACUUUGCUGCUUGCCCUUUUAAAGGAGAAAUCAAGAACCCAUGCUUGUGCUAUCUUUAAUUCUAGAUUAAAUACAGUAUCUUAUUUUAAUGAGAACUUCACCUUCUGAAGAAAGGUCAUCUGAAAAGAUUCAAGUACUCUACUGUUUUCAAUUAGCAACUUGCUCAUAAGAAAAUUCAUUCUGAGCCUUCCAGCAGAUUCCUUCAACAAAACCAGGGAAGAUAAUGACAUUUCUGAGGAAAAAAAAACUUCGGAUGUAGGAAAAAAGUAACAAUCAUGAGGAGAGAAACACCCACUUAGAAUAUUAGAAGAAUGUUUGCAGGCCAUAUUUAGAGCAGGUUAAUCUUUAUGCUCUAGGAAAUAAUAGCAUCCUUCUGUAUAUUACUGCAUAUUUCAAAGUAUGCAACUAUUUAAUCUGUUAAAAGCUAAGUAGCAUUUUUCCAUCAGUAUAAAGCUAUUAAUUGUUUCCUUCUUCAAAAAUGGCAGUUGCAAUAGAUAAUCCAAUCAAAAGCAGCAGCCUAUGUCUCACUUUAAACAACUGGGACGUCCGUGUUGCCACGGGACACAGCCACUGCAUUAUUCCAGUUUGCUGAGGUACUGAUAGCAAUCCGACCAACCUGACACAGCUCAACAGCCAUCCAUUUACCUGCUUCUCAGCUUCAGAAGUAACUUCAGGGCAGACAUAACCCAUCUGAUUAUUAUAAGCAGCUUUGCUAAGACCAUCUCUUCACACUGACUUCACUGCUCCCCUAUUUGACAAAUGCAUUAUAUAUCCUUUUUACUCUCAACUUAAAGAUCACCUGCAAGCUCAGGCUCAUUUGCGAAUGAGAAGGCCUGAGUACCUGUUAAAGCCUUUGGAACAAUUUUCUUCUAUUAAGAAGACACAGGAGUACCAGUAUGUACUUUGAUAGUUUGUUUUCAUUAGUAUAAUUACAAUACAUUCUGGACAGUUACAAAAUCCAGGGAAAUCACGUUUGCUCCAUAAAUUUCUAUUGCAAACCUCAAACAUGAGUGUGCCUUUCCAUUACUUCUGCACACUUUUCCUAUAAUCUUAGUAAGGACAUCCAGUACAGCAACCUUUUUUUGUUUGUUUCAGCAGCUUUUAGUUCCGCUUUGUGCCUCAGGCUUUGAUGUCCACCUUGAAUACUGGUUUAGCUGCUCAAUUAAAAGCCUGCAGCUAGUCUCUCUCACGUUACAGCAAUUCAACAGACAUUUCUAGUGGGACAGUUUAGAAAAGGUAUAUAUGCAAAAUGAUUUCUGGGUCACUUAGGGCAUUAGCAUUUAGUGUACCUCUGAAGUCAAAUCCUGCUCUAGAUCAGAAGGAAUCACAAUGAAGUCUGUCAAGUAUUUAAGCUUUGAAUUUAGGAGGAGAAUUUGCCUCCAC